rnacentral:rRNA from 1 species
GACGAACGCUGGCGGCGUGCUUAACACAUGCAAGUCGAACGGAAAGGCCCUGCUUGCGUGGGGUGCUCGAGUGGCGAACGGGUGAGUAACACGUGAGUAUCCUGACCUUCAUUUUGGGAUAACUUAAGGAAAGUGGGGUUAAUACCGGAUAGGAGCUCACGCUGCAUGGUGGGGGGUGGAUAGUCUCGGCGGUCGGGGAUGGAUUCGCGGCUUAUCAGCUUGUUGGUGGGGUAGUGGCUUACCAAGGCUUUGACUGGUAGCCGGCCUGGGAGGGUGACCGGCGACAUUGGUACUGAGAUACGGCCCAGACUCCUACGGUAGGCAGCAGUGGGGAAUAUUGCACAGUGAGCGGAAGCCUGAUGCAGCAGCGCCGCGUGCGUAAUGACGGCUUGCGGGUUGUAAACCGCUGUAGCCUGUGACGAAGCGUGAGUGACGGUAAUGGGAGAAUAAGCACCGGCUAACUACGUG